rnacentral:tRNA from 1 species
GCGGGCGUAGCUCAGUUGGUAGAGCACUGGCUUCCCAAGCCAGGUGUCGAGGGUUCGAGCCCCUUCGCCCGCUUCA